AAUCCAUAGGUUAAUGAGGCGAACCGGGGGAACUGAAACAUCUAAGUACCCCGAGGAAAAGAAAUCAACCGAGAUUCCCCCAGUAGCGGCGAGCGAACGGGGAGGAGCCCAGAGCCUGAAUCAGCAUGUGUGUUAGUGGAAGCGUCUGGAAAGGCGCGCGAUACAGGGUGACAGCCCCGUACACAAAAGCGCAUGUGCUGUGAGCUCGAUGAGUAGGGCGGGACACGUGGUAUCCUGUCUGAAUAUGGGGGGACCAUCCUCCAAGGCUAAAUACUCCUGACUGACCGAUAGUGAACCAGUACCGUGAGGGAAAGGCGAAAAGAACCCCGGCGAGGGGAGUGAAAAAGAACCUGAAACCGUGUACGUACAAGCAGUGGGAGCACAGGUUUACCUGUGUGACUGCGUACCUUUUGUAUAAUGGGUCAGCGACUUAUAUUCUGUAGCAAGGUUAACCGAAUAGGGGAGCCGGAGGGAAACCGAGUCUUAAUUGGGCGUUAAGUUGCAGGGUAUAGACCCGAAACCCGGUGAUCUAGCCAUGGGCAGGUUGAAGGUUGGGUAACACUAACUGGAGGACCGAACCGACUAAUGUUGAAAAAUUAGCGGAUGACCUGUGGCUGGGGGUGAAAGGCCAAUCAAACCGGGAGAUAGCUGGUUCUCCCCGAAAGCUAUUUAGGUAGCGCCUCGUGAAUUCAUCUCCGGGGGUAGAGCACUGUUUCGGCUAGGGGGCCAUCCCGGCUUACCAACCCGAUGCAAACUGCGAAUACCGGAGAAUGUUAUCACGGGAGACACACGGCGGGUGCUAACGUCCGUCGUGAAGAGGGAAACAACCCAGACCGCCAGCUAAGGUCCCAAAGUCAUGGUUAAGUGGGAAACGAUGUGGGAAGGCCCAGACAGCCAGGAUGUUGGCUUAGAAGCAGCCAUCAUUUAAAGAAAGCGUAAUAGCUCACUGGUCGAGUCGGCCUGCGCGGAAGAUGUAACGGGGCUAAACCAUGCACCGAAGCUGCGGCAGCGACACUGUGUGUUGUUGGGUAGGGGAGCGUUCUGUAAGCCUGUGAAGGUGUGUCGUGAGGCAUGCUGGAGGUAUCAGAAGUGCGAAUGCUGACAUAAGUAACGAUAAAGCGGGUGAAAAGCCCGCUCGCCGGAAGACCAAGGGUUCCUGUCCAACGUUAAUCGGGGCAGGGUGAGUCGACCCCUAAGGCGAGGCCGAAAGGCGUAGUCGAUGGGAAACGGGUUAAUAUUCCCGUACUUGGUGUUACUGCGAAGGGGGGACGGAGAAGGCUAUGUUGGCCGGGCGACGGUUGUCCCGGUUUAAGCGUGUAGGUGUGUGUUCCAGGUAAAUCCGGUUCACUUUAACACUGAGGCGUGACGACGAGGCACUACGGUGCUGAAGCAACAAAUGCCCUGCUUCCAGGAAAAGCCUCUAAGCAUCAGGUAACAUCAAAUCGUACCCCAAACCGACACAGGUGGUCAGGUAGAGAAUACCAAGGCGCUUGAGAGAACUCGGGUGAAGGAACUAGGCAAAAUGGUGCCGUAACUUCGGGAGAAGGCACGCUGACACGUAGGUGAAGUGAUUUACUCAUGGAGCUGAAGUCAGUCGAAGAUACCAGCUGGCUGCAACUGUUUAUUAAAAACACAGCACUGUGCAAACACGAAAGUGGACGUAUACGGUGUGACGCCUGCCCGGUGCCGGAAGGUUAAUUGAUGGGGUCAGCGCAAGCGAAGCUCCUGAUCGAAGCCCCGGUAAACGGCGGCCGUAACUAUAACGGUCCUAAGGUAGCGAAAUUCCUUGUCGGGUAAGUUCCGACCUGCACGAAUGGCGUAAUGAUGGCCAGGCUGUCUCCACCCGAGACUCAGUGAAAUUGAACUCGCUGUGAAGAUGCAGUGUACCCGCGGCAAGACGGAAAGACCCCGUGAACCUUUACUAUAGCUUGACACUGAACAUUGAGCCUUGAUGUGUAGGAUAGGUGGGAGGCUUUGAAGUGUGGACGCCAGUCUGCAUGGAGCCGACCUUGAAAUACCACCCUUUAAUGUUUGAUGUUCUAACGUGGACCCGUUACCCGGGUUGCGGACAGUGUCUGGUGGGUAGUUUGACUGGGGCGGUCUCCUCCUAAAGAGUAACGGAGGAGCACGAAGGUUGGCUAAUCCUGGUCGGACAUCAGGAGGUUAGUGCAAUGGCAUAAGCCAGCUUGACUGCGAGCGUGACGGCGCGAGCAGGUGCGAAAGCAGGUCAUAGUGAUCCGGUGGUUCUGAAUGGAAGGGCCAUCGCUCAACGGAUAAAAGGUACUCCGGGGAUAACAGGCUGAUACCGCCCAAGAGUUCAUAUCGACGGCGGUGUUUGGCACCUCGAUGUCGGCUCAUCACAUCCUGGGGCUGAAGUAGGUCCCAAGGGUAUGGCUGUUCGCCAUUUAAAGUGGUACGCGAGCUGGGUUUAGAACGUCGUGAGACAGUUCGGUCCCUAUCUGCCGUGGGCGCUGGAGAACUGAGGGGGGCUGCUCCUAGUACGAGAGGACCGGAGUGGACGCAUCACUGGUGUUCGGGUUGUCAUGCCAAUGGCACUGCCCGGUAGCUAAAUGCGGAAGAGAUAAGUGCUGAAAGCAUCUAAGCACGAAACUUGCCCCGAGAUGAGUUCUCC
rnacentral:rRNA from 1 species